UUAACACACCAAUCAGAAUUGCAGGAUCAAUAAAUAGGGCCUAGAGGCAUGUCCAUGUGCUUUGGAACAAUGGAUCUUAACAAUGCCAAAGUUGCAAGACAACAGAGAGGAAGAGGACAACAACAACAACAACAAAGACAAGUAAUCUCUGGUGAAAUCCGUGCCACCCUAGUUCAUCAUGUGCUCCUACAUGGGAGGACUAUGCGAGAAGCUGGACAGCUUGUGCAACCCAUUUUUAUUUUAUUUUUUACACCUUUAUGUUAAGAACAAAUUCUUAUUUUCAACCUAAGCCGUUACACGGUUGCAUCCAUUGUCCGUACUUUCAGAAGGGAAAACAGAACUGAUAGGCGGCUGUCUAUUGGAGGUAGGCGGAUACUUCUCACAGCUGAGUAGGAGACUGCCCUGGUGAAWAUGGUGAUUGCCAAUAAUGCCAUCCGUUUGAGGGAAAUUCAAACCCCAAUAGUUGAAGACCAGCUAGUCUUCCAAGGAAUUGACAGCGUCAGCGUUUCCAUCAUUGACCAGAUCGUUCAGAAGAACCACAAAAAGACAAAGCAGCUGUACCGUGUGCCUUUUGAAAGGAAUUCAGAGUUGAGGAGCAAUGAAUCCAAUAUGUGCAGAGAAUCUUUAAGCUGGAUGCCAUGGCUGACCCACAGGAGUACAUCUUCAUCGACGAGGCAGGGUUCAACCUAAUAAAAAGGCGCAACAACAUUGGUCACCGUGAUUUCAUACAAGUUCCUGGCCAGAGGGGAGGCAACGUCACCCUAUGUGCAGCAAUCGUGGCGUCCUCCACCGCCAUGUCAAAGUGGGUCCGUACAACACGGCACAACUCCUUCAAUUUCUAGAUCAGCUGCACAAUAACAUUCUUCAACAGGAAGGGGAGCCAGGGCAACCAGAGCAAGCCCAAUAUGUUGUCAUUUUGGAUAACGUGAGUUUCCAUCGGGCUGCUCUGGUUCGCGCCUGGUUCAAUGACCAUCCCAGGUUCACCGUUCUUUUUCUGCCAGCAUAUUCCCCAUUUCUGAAUCCGAUUGAGGACUUUUUCUCAGCAUGGCGGUGGAGAGUGUAUGACCGAAAUCCCUACGCACAGCAAAACCUCCUGGAGUCAAUGGUGGACACCUGUGGUGAUGUGUCUGUGGAGUCUAUCCAGGGUUUUCUCAGGCACACAAGGGAUUUURUURCCCACACUUCCUGGCAAGWGCAAACAUAAUGUGUGACYUUGAUGAGAUAUUAUGGCCUGACCCAGACCUGAGACAAGAUGAUGAGAACACUGAUGCUGAGUAACCUGUACAUUUGCUGCAUUUGGAAAUAAAGCUUUUGGAAAUUGGGUAUUUUACUGUGC